rnacentral:rRNA from 1 species
CCCAAGACUGGUUUCCCACUGAAGCUAAGCAGGGUUGAGCCUGGUUAGUAUCUGGAUGGGAGAUCUCCUGGGAAAACUAGGUUGCUGUUGGAA